GUAACACAAAGAUGCUUUAUCCAACUUAUCUGCUGUGUUUAUUGUUGUGCUAUAUUCAGUGUUCCUGUGGACAAAUUGUGCUGACUCAGUCUCCAGAUGUCACAGUGUCACCUGGUGAAAGUGUCACCAUCACAUGUAAAACUAGUAGUAGUGUUAGCAACUACCUAAACUGGUACCUACAGAAAUCAGGGCAACCACCCAAGCUUCUUAUCUAUUACGCAAGCAGCAAACACACAGGGACCCCAGACAGGUUCAGCGGCAGUGGGUCUGGGAAAACUUUUUUCUUUGUUUUUUGCACUGAUUUCACUCUCACAAUCAGCGGAGUGCAAGCAGAAGAUGCAGCAGAUUAUUACUGUCAGCAGUAUAGCAGCUUCCCUCUCACAGUGAUACAGAGCUGUACAAAAACCUUCCUCUUUUUUUUUAUAAUCUCUGAGUUUUCAAAACACUAG